UGUGGGAGCGGGCUUGCUCGCGAUGCAGGCGCUGCGGUUUAUCAGGCAAACCGUGUUGAUCCGAUCGCGAGCAAGCCCGCUCCCACA
rnacentral:misc_RNA from 1 species